rnacentral:lncRNA from 1 species
GGGUAAGUCCCUAGGAUAAAUAAAUUAGGUUAUAUUUUUUAAAAAUUAAAGGCUAAACAUAGUCAACUGUAGAAGAUCGUCACUUACAAAGAAUGUUAUCACACAUUCUUUGGCCUGGGAAUGGGCAUGUUAGGCUUUCAGUUCUGUGUUGAGAAAUCUUUGACAACUUCAAUAAUGUCUGUGGUAAGGUUCUUCCCCUCACAAAUCCACAGAAAAAUACCUGUCUACUAGCUGCACUUGCUAGAAUUGAGUUGUUUCUAUAACCUUUUCUUCAAUGGAAUUAACUUAGGGAUAAACUGCCUAUAUCAUUUUUGUUUUUGUUAUUUUCCAUGUCUAGCAUUUCUACCCAUUUCUACUUUCUCGUCUUUUGCCUCUUUCUACAUUUUUCAAGUUCACUGGUAGAAGAAUAAUGGAAGAAAGCAGUUAACUCCACCUCCAAGACACCUACUGAGAGAUCUGGAAAAUGGAAAGCUUAGGUCUGUGUAGGACUUAAGUCUGUGAGGUACAGUGAAAAGCAACAACAACAGCCACAACAAAAACUACAGAUUUCUUACAGCUCUGUCACCUGGACAUUUUGGGAGCAAAAUGACCAUGAGCCUACAAAAGUUGAAAAAUUGGAAAUGAAUCUGAUACCGAAGAACAAACGCACCUUCUACAGCAAGCACUUCCUCCACAACCUUGUCUCACUCUCCUUUGCUCUAUGUGUAAGAAUAACAAACCUUCAGGCAUUACAUUUUAUUUAGCAUAAGUUUUAUGUACUUCUCAAGGGAAUAGUUGUUUAUUAGCUAUAUAAAUCUUCAUGAACUUUUAAACAGCUUCAUUUUUCUACCUGUG